ACAGGAUUCCCUAGUAACUGCGAGUGAAGAGGGAAAAGCUCAAAUUUAAAAUCUGGCAGUCUUUGAUUGUCCGAGUUGUAAUUUAGAGAAGUGCUACCCGCGCUGGACCGUGUAUAAGUCUCCUGGAAUGGAGCGUCAUAGAGGGUGAGAAUCCCGUCUUUGACACGGACUACCAGGGCAUUGUGGUGCGCUCUCGAAGAGUCGAGUUGUUUGGGAAUGCAGCUCUAAAUGGGUGGUAAAUUCCAUCUAAAGCUAAAUAUUGGCGAGAGACCGAUAGCGAACAAGUACCGUGAGGGAAAGAUGAAAAGAACUUUGGAAAGAGAGUUAAACAGUACGUGAAAUUGCUGAAAGGGAAACGCUUGAAGUCAGUCGCGUUGGCCAGGGAUCAGCCUUGCUUCUGUGAGGUGUACUUCCUGGUUGACGGGUCAGCAUCAGUUUCGACCACUGGAAAAAGGCUUGGGGAAUGUGGCACCUCCGGGUGUGUUAUAGCCCCUUGUUGUAUACAGUGGUUGGGACUGAGGAACUCAGCACGCCGCAAGGCCGGGAUUCGUCCACCUUCGUGCUUAGGAUGCUGGCAUAAUGGUUGUAACCGACCCGCCCUGCACCACGGACCAAACAA
rnacentral:rRNA from 1 species